AUUGAACGCUGGCGGCAUGCCUUACACAUGCAAGUCGAACGGUAACAGGUUAAGCUGACGAGUGGCGAACGGGUGAGUAAUAUAUCGGAACGUGCCCAGUCGUGGGGGAUAACGUAGCGAAAGCUACGCUAAUACCGCAUACGAUCUACGGAUGAAAGCGGGGGAUCGCAAGACCUCGCGCGAUUGGAGCGGCCGAUAUCAGAUUAGGUUGUUGGUGAGGUAAAACCUCACCAAGCCUGCGGUCUGUAGCUGGUCUGAGAGGACGACCAGCCACACUGGAACUGGGACACGGUCCAGACUCCUACGGGAGGCAGCAGUGGGGAAUUUUGGACAAUGGACGCAAGUCUGAUCCAGCAAUGCCGCGUGCAGGACGAAGGCCUUCGGGUUGUAAACUGCUUUUGUACGGAACGAAACGGUGAGCUCUAAUACAGUUUGCUAAUGACGGUACCGUAAGAAUAAGCACCGGCUAACUACGUGCCAGCCGCCGCAGUAA
rnacentral:rRNA from 1 species